GAGGCCUACGGGACGCAGCAGUGAGGAAUAUUGGUCAAUGGCCGCAGGGCUGAACCAGCCAAGUCGCGUGAGGGAUGACGGUCCUAUGGAUUGUAAACCUCUUUUGUCAGGGAGCAAAGGGCGCCACGUGUGGCGUUUUGCGAGUACCUGAAGAAAAAGCAUCGGCUAACUCCGUGCCAGCAGCCGCGGUAAUACGGAGGAUGCGAGCGUUAUCCGGAUUUAUUGGGUUUAAAGGGUGCGUAGGCGGACGCUUAAGUCAGCGGUAAAAUUGCGGGGCUCAACCUCGUCGAGCCGUUGAAACUGGG
rnacentral:rRNA from 1 species